GAUUAACGCUGGCGGCGUGCCUAACACAUGCAAGUCGAACGAUGAAACUUUAAUAAUCCCUUCUGGGAGAAUUAAAGCGGCGUACUGGUGAACAGGAGAGUAAAGCGUGAGUAACCUGCCUUAAACAAGGGGAUAGCCUUUGGAAACGAAGACUAAUACCCUAUCAAACCAUACAAGCAAAUGCAAUUAUGGUCAAAGUGAUAGCGGUGUAAGAUGGACUUGCGUCUGAUUAGCUAGUUGGUGAGAUAAAAGCCCACCAAGGCAACGAUCAGUGGCCGGCUUGAGAGAGUGUACGGCCACAUUGCGACUGACACACGGGCCAGACUCCUACGGGAGGCAGCAGUGGAGAACCAUGCAUAAUGGGGGAAAGCCUGAUGCUGCGACGCCGUAUGAUUUUGAAGUUCUUCGAGUAGUAAAAAGCUUUUGUAUAGGAAAAAAAUGACAGUACUAUACGAAUAAGGACCGGCUAAUUACGUG
rnacentral:rRNA from 1 species